UGGAUUAAGAGCUUGCUCUUAUGAAGUUAGCGGCGGACGGGUGAGUAACACGUGGGUAACCUGCCCAUAAGACUGGGAUAACUCCGGGAAACCGGGGCUAAUACCGGAUAACAUUUUGAACCGCAUGGUUCGAAAUUGAAAGGCGGCUUCGGCUGUCACUUAUGGAUGGACCCGCGUCGCAUUAGCUAGUUGGUGAGGUAACGGCUCACCAAGGCAACGAUGCGUAGCCGACCUGAGAGGGUGAUCGGCCACACUGGGACUGAGACACGGCCCAGACUCCUACGGGAGGCAGCAGUAGGGAAUCUUCCGCAAUGGACGAAAGUCUGACGGAGCAACGCCGCGUGAGUGAUGAAGGCUUUCGGGUCGUAAAACUCUGUUGUUAGGGAAGAACAAGUGCUAGUUGAAUAAGCUGGCACCUUGACGGUACCUAACCAGAAAGCCACGGCUAACUACGUGCCAGCAGCCGCGGUAAUACGUAGGUGGCAAGCGUUAUCCGGAAUUAUUGGGCGUAAGCGCGCGCAGGUGGUUUCUUAAGUCUGAUGUGAAAGCCCACGGCUCACCCGUGGAGGGUCAUUGGAAACUGGGAGACUUGAGUGCAGAAGAGGAAAGUGGAAUUCCAUGUGUAGCGUGAAAUGCGUAGAGAUAUGGAGGAACACCAGUGGCGAA
rnacentral:rRNA from 1 species